rnacentral:rRNA from 1 species
AAUGAACGUUGGCGGCGUGGAUUAGGCAUGCGAGUCGAGCGAGAACCGUAGCAAUACGGGGACAGCGGCGAAAGGGACAGUAACGGGUAGAUUAUCUGCCCUCAGGUUUGGGAUAGCUGCGGGAAACUGCAAGUAAUACCAAAUAAUAUCUCCGGAUCAAAGGUGUGAUUCCGCCCGAGGAUGAGUCUGCCUCCUAUUAGCUAGUUGGUGGGGUAACGGCCUACCAAGGCGUUGAUGGGUAGCGGGUGUGAGAGCACGACCCGCGUCAUUGGGACUGAGACACUGCCCAGACACCUACGGGUGGCUGCAGUCGAGAAUCUUCGGCAAUGGACGCAAGUCUGACCGAGCGACGCCGCGUGUGGGAUGAAGGCCUUCGGGUUGUAAACCACUGUCAGAGGGGAUGAAAUGCAGGUGGGUUCUCCCAUCUGUUUGACAUAGCCUCAGAGGAAGUACGGGCUAGGUUCGUGCCAGCAGCCGCGGUAA